rnacentral:misc_RNA from 1 species
CGAAGAGUUAAGAGAGAUUCAAACUCAAAUCGAGCAUUUGACUAUCCACUUUGAUGAGGGUAGCGUCCAUGAGUCUGCAGGCCAGUUGAAGGGGAAGUUCUUCAAUAAGGAUAGACAAUCAGCUAGGGAUUACCUUCUUGAUAAAUUGAAGGAUGAUAAAGAUAAAGAUAUUGUUAGAGGUAUGGGCACCUAUACACUGGAAUGUGUAGCAAUACAUGUGUUAAGCAAGCUGUUUAAUGUGUUUUCUUUGGAAAAGACUAGUGUGCUAGCAGCCGCAUUGAUAUCAGAGCUAGAUAUAACAGCUAAGACGGAAUAUAAUAAUGCACUAUUAGCUAAAAUGCAGCGCGAAAAGGAAUAAACUGAAAAGCUAAUAAAGCGCUAUGAUGAAAAGCUGGC